GACGAGGGAUCCUAGCGUUGUUCGGAAUCAUUGGGCGUAAAGCGGAUGUAGGUGGCUUUGUAAGUCAGAUGUGAAAGCCCAGGGCUUAACCCUGGAAGGGCAUUUGAUACUGCUUAGCUUGAGUGCUAGAGAGGCUACUGGAAUACCUGGUGUAGUGGUGAAAUACGUAGAUAUCAGGUGGAACACCGGAGGCGAAGGCGGGUAGCUGGCUAGACACUGACACUCAGAUCCGAAAGCGUGGGGAUCAAACAGG
rnacentral:rRNA from 1 species